GACGAACGCUGGCGGCGGGCUUAACACAUGCAAGUCGAACGGAAAGGCCCUGCUUUUGUGGGGUUCUCGAGUGGCGAACGGGUGAGGAACACGUGAGUAACCGGCCCUUGACUUUGGUGUAACUUCAGGAAACUGGGGCUAAGACCGGAUAGGAUCUCCUGCUGCAGGGUGGGGGUUGGAAAUUUUCGGCGGGUGGGGAUGGACUCGCGGCUUAUCAGCUUGUUGGUGGGGUAGUGGCUUACCAAGGGUGUGAAGGGUAGCCGGCAUGAGAGCGUGACCGGGCACAUGGGGACUGAGAUAGGGACCAGACUCCAACGGGGGGCAGCAGUGGCGAAUAUUGCCCAAUGGGAGGACGCCGGAUGCAGAAACGCUGCGUGCGGGAUGCCGGCUUUCGGGUUGAAAAAAGCUUUAGCCUGUGACGACGCGUGAGUGACGGUAAUGGGUAAAGAAGCACCGGCUAACUACGUG
rnacentral:rRNA from 1 species